UUAAAAUGUAAAUUAUUAAGCUAAGUGAUUAAUAGUUAAGUUCUUUAAAGCUAAAUGAUUUGGCGGUACUUUAAACUUUUCAGAGGAACCUGUUCUAUAAGCGAUAGUCCACGAUUAAAUUAACUUUAAUUAGAAAUUUUCAUAUCGUUGUUAUUAAAUAUUUUAUAAGAAUAAAAUAUUUAAGAUUUCUUUAUAAAGAAAUAAAUCAAAUCAAGGUGAAGUUUAUAUUAAAGAAGAUAUGGGUUACAAUAAAUUUUAUUUUUGGAUUAUUAAUUUGUAAAAUUUUAUGAAAUUGGAUUUGAAAGUAAUUAAUUAAUAUAUUUUUUUAAUGAUUAAGCUCUAAAUUAUGU
rnacentral:rRNA from 2 species